rnacentral:rRNA from 1 species
AAUGAACGUUGGCGGCGUGGAUUAGGCAUGCAAGUCGAGCGAGAACCGUAGCAAUACGGGGACAGCGGCGAAAGGGACAGUAAUGUGUAGGUACCUACCCCUGGGUUCGGGAUAGCUGCGGGAAACUGCAGGUAAUACCGAAUAAUGUCUCCGGACCAAAGGUGUGAUUCCACCUGGGGAGGGGCCUGCAUCCUAUUAGCUUGUUGGCGGGGUAACGGCCCACCAAGGCAACGAUGGGUAGCGGGUGUGAGAGCACGACCCGCGUCAUUGGGACUGAGAUACUGCCCAGACACCUACGGGUGGCUGCAGUCGAGGAUCUUCGGCAAUGGGCGAAAGCCUGACCGAGCGACGCCGCGUGCGGGAUGAAGGCCUUCGGGUUGUAAACCGCUGUCGUUGGGGAGGAAGUGCAGGGGGGGUCUCCCCUCUGUUUGACCUAUCCAAGGAGGAAGUACGGGCUAAGUUCGUGCCAGCAGCCGCCGUAACAC